UACGUAGGGCGCGAGCGUUGUCCGGAAUUAUUGGGCGUAAAGAGCUCGUAGGCGGCCUGUUGCGUCCGCUGUGAAAUCCCAGGGCUCAACCCUGGGCGUGCAGUGGAUACGGGCAGGCUGGAGGCAGGCAGGGGAGAACGGAAUUCCCGGUGUAGCGGUGAAAUGCGCAGAUAUCAGGAAGAACACCCGUGGCGAAGGCGGCUCUCUGGGACGGUACUGACGCUGAGACGCGAAAGCGUGGGGAGCGAACAGG
rnacentral:rRNA from 1 species